UAGAGUUUGAUCCUGGCUCAGAUUGAACGCUGGCGGCAGGCCUAACACAUGCAAGUCGAGCGGUAACAGAAAGUAGCUUGCUACUUUGCUGACGAGCGGCGGACGGGUGAGUAAUGCUUGGGAACAUGCCUUGAGGUGGGGGACAACAGUUGGAAACGACUGCUAAUACCGCAUAAUGUCUACGGACCAAAGGGGGCUUCGGCUCUCGCCUUUAGAUUGGCCCAAGUGGGAUUAGCUAGUUGGUGAGGUAAUGGCUCACCAAGGCGACGAUCCCUAGCUGGUUUGAGAGGAUGAUCAGCCACACUGGGACUGAGACACGGCCCAGACUCCUACGGGAGGCAGCAGUGGGGAAUAUUGCACAAUGGGCGCAAGCCUGAUGCAGCCAUGCCGCGUGUGUGAAGAAGGCCUUCGGGUUGUAAAGCACUUUCAGUCAGGAGGAAAGGUUAGUAGUUAAUACCUGCUAGCUGUGACGUUACUGACAGAAGAAGCACCGGCUAACUCCGUGCCAGCAGCCGCGG
rnacentral:rRNA from 1 species